AGCAAUACCUCACUGAUACAGGGGUGGAUCCGAAACCUCUAGAAAGUUAACAUAUACUCUCCGCCUCCUACUCAAACUCAAUACGUCCCCGUCGUAAAGAACGGUAGCAUGUCUGUUAAAUUGGUUGCAUGGCUAAAUUGAGAAAG
rnacentral:ribozyme from 1 species